UACGGAGGAUGCGAGCGUUAUCCGGAUUUAUUGGGUUUAAAGGGUGCGCAGGCGGGUUUUUAAGUCAGUGGUGAAAUCUAGGGGCUCAACCUCUAAACUGCCAUUGAAACUGGGGACCUUGAGUAUGGAUGAAGUAGGCGGAACUCGUUGUGUAGCGGUGAAAUGCAUAGAUAUAACGAAGAACCCCGAUUGCGUAGGCAGCUUACUAAACCAUAACUGACGCUCAAGCACGAAAGCGUGGGUAUCAAAC
rnacentral:rRNA from 1 species